rnacentral:rRNA from 1 species
UACGAACGCUGGCGGCGUGCUUAACACAUGCAAGUCGAACGGAAAGGCCCUGCUUUUGUGGGGUGCUCGAGUGGCGAACGGGUGAGUAACACGUGAGUAACCUGCCCUUGACUUUGGGAUAACUUCAGGAAACUGGGGCUAAUACCGGAUAGGAGCUCCUGCUGCAUGGUGGGGGUUGGAAAGUUUCGGCGGUUGGGGAUGGACUCGCGGCUUAUCAGCUUGUUGGUGGGGUAGUGGCUUACCAAGGCUUUGACGGGUAGCCGGCCUGAGCGGGUGACCGGCCACAUUGGGACUGAGAUACGGCCCAGACUCCUACGGGAGGCAGCAGUGGGGAAUAUUGCACAAUGGGCGGAAGCCUGAUGCAGCAACGCCGCGUGCGGGAUGACGGCCUUCGGGUUGUAAACCGCUUUCGCCUGUGACGAAGCGUGAGUGACGGUAAUGGGUAAAGAAGCACCGGCUAACUACGUG